GCUAAACAGCUAGCUUAAUCACCUAAAUAACUAAAACAACAUUAAAUAACUUAAAACGACCCCAACCCCCUAAACUAAAACAUUCUACCGCCCUAGUAUGGGAGACAGAAAAGGCAAACCCUAAAGCAAUAACAAAAGUACCGCAAGGGAACGCUGAAAGAGAAAUGAAACAAAUCAUUAAAGCACAACAAAGCAGAGAUUAACCCUCGUACCUUUUGCAUCAUGAUUUAGCUAGUACCCUUGAGCAAAGAGAGCUUUAGUUCAAACCCCCGAAACUAAGUGAGCUACCCCGGGACAGCCUAUAAAUUAGGGCCAACCCGUCUCUGUGGCAAAAGAGUGGGAAGAUCCCCGGGUAGAGGUGACAGACCUACCGAACUUAGUUAUAGCUGGUUGCCUAAGAAAUGAAUAGAAGUUCAGCCCGCACGCCCUCAGCUCCCCCACAUAUCACAAACCAUGAGUCAGAGUAACAUGCGAGAGUUAGUCAAAGGAGGUACAGCUCCUUUGAACCAGGACACAACCUUACCAGGAGGUUAAAGAUUAUACUAACUAAGAUACACCGCUUCAGUGGGCCUAAAAGCAGCCACCUGGAUAGAAAGCGUUAAAGCUCAGGCGGACCAAAAAUCUAUUAUCCAAAUAUCAAAUCUUAAACCCCUAACCAUACUAGGCCACCCUAUGCGCACAUAGAAGAGAUUAUGCUAAAAUGAGUAAUAAGAAGAGUAACCCCUUCUCCCCGCCUACGUGUACGCUAGACCGAACCCCCACUAGCAAUUACCGAACCCAAUAAAAGAGGGCAAUGUACUUACACCAAACACCAAGAAAACCGUACAUAACCCGAUCGUUAACCCCACACCGGAAGGCUUAAAAUGAGGAAAGACUAAAAGAAAAGGAAGGAACUCGGCAAACACAAGCCUCGCCUGUUUACCAAAAACAUCGCCUCCUGCAAAAAUCAACGUAUAGGAGGUCCUACCUGCCCAGUGACAAGUUUAACGGCCGCGGUAUUUUGACCGUGCAAAGGUAGCGCAAUCACUUGUCUUUUAAAUGAAGACCUGUAUGAAUGGUGGAACGAGGGCUUAACUGUCUCCCCUUUCAAGUCAAUGAAAUUGAUCUGCCCG
rnacentral:rRNA from 1 species